UUGCUCUUAUGAAGUUAGCGGCGGACGGGUGAGUAACACGUGGGUAACCUGCCCAUAAGACUGGGAUAACUCCGGGAAACCGGGGCUAAUACCGGAUAACAUUUUGAACCGCAUGGUUCUAAAUUGAAAGGCGGCUUCGGCUGUCCUUUAUGGAUGGACCCGCGUCGCGGUAGCUAGUUGGUGAGGUGACGGCUCACCAAGGCAACCAUGCAUAACCAACCUGAGAGGGUGAUCGGCCACACUGGGACUGAUCCACGGCCCAGACUCCUACGGGAGGCAGCAAUAGGGAAUCUUCCCCAAUGGACGAAAUUCUGACGGAGCAACGCCGCGUGAGUGAUGAAGGCUUUCGGGUCGUAAAACUCUGUUGUUAGG
rnacentral:rRNA from 1 species